rnacentral:rRNA from 1 species
UACAGAGGUCUCAAGCGUUGUUCGGAUUCAUUGGGCGUAAAGGGUGUGUAGGUGGCGCCGUAAGUCGGGUGUGAAAUUUCGAGGCUUAACCUCGAAACUGCAUUCGAUACUGCGGUGCUUGAGGACUGGAGAGGAGACUGGAAUUCAUGGUGUAGCAGUGAAAUGCGUAGAUAUCAUGAGGAAGACCAGUGGCGAAGGCGGGUCUCUGGACAGUUCCUGACACUGAGACACGAAGGCCAGGGGGGCAAACGGG